UGUGAGCGAGUCCGCCUCUGAAACACACCCCCAUCUGGCAAAAAUUAACCAAAAAAAAGGGAGGGAAGGAAGAAAGGAAGGAAAAAGGAGAGAGAAAAAGUCAGUCAGUCUGAGCUAAACAGAGAAGCUAAACAGAUCAGAAAGGUGUUGAUGAGGCAAAAUCAAUAGAGAUUUCACAUGAAAUAUCAACAUGUCUUCAAGGAUAACCUGGUACUCACAACACACCUUUACAACAAGAAAUUGACAACAAGCAGGUUAAUGACUUUUCGGCAAUUUAAAGUGUACUUAAGUUUAGUCACUGUCUAAGAAAAUCUGAGGUGCCCUGAAAUCACAGACCUCCCAUAAGAAACUCAUGUCAGGUUUCCUCAAAUUUAGCAAUACUAAAAAUUGACAUGUUACUACC